AUUGAACGCUGGCGGCAUGCCUUACACAUGCAAGUCGAACGGCAGCACGGGAGCAAUCCUGGUGGCGAGUGGCGAACGGGUGAGUAAUAUAUCGGAACAUACCCUAGAGUGGGGGAUAACGUAGCGAAAGUUACGCUAAUACCGCAUACGAUCUACGGAUGAAAGUGGGGGCUCGCAAGACCUCAUGCUCAUGGAGUGGCCGAUAUCUGAUAGCUAGUUGGCGGGGUAAAAGCCCACCAAGGCGACGAUCAGUAGCUGGUCUGAGAGGACGACCAGCCACACUGGGACUGAGACACCGGCCCAGACUCCUACGGGAGGCAGCAGUGGGGUAAUUUUGGACAAGUGGGCGCAAGCCUGACUCCAGCAAUGCCGCGUGUGUGAAGAAGGCC
rnacentral:rRNA from 1 species